rnacentral:rRNA from 1 species
AAAUGAAUAGACGGGUACCCGCACAAGCGGUGGAGCAUGCUGUUUAAUUCGAAGAUACGCGAAGAACCUUACCAAGAUUUGACAUCCCAGGCAAAGCUAUAGAAAUAUAGUGGAGGUUACCCUGGUGACAGGUGGUGCAUGGUUGUCGUCAGCUCGUGUCGUGAGAUGUUCGGUUAAGUCCGAUAACGAGCGCAACCCUUAUCUCUAGUUGCUAACAGUUAGGCUGAGGACUUUAGAGAGACUGCCGGUGAUAAACCGGAGGAAGGUGGGGAUGACGUCAAAUCAUCAUGCCCCUUACAUCUUGGGCUACAGGCGUGCUACAAUGGUUGGUACAAAGGGUCGCAAAACCGCGAGGUCUAGCUAAUCCCCAAAACCAAUCUCAGUUCGGAUUGGAGUCUGCAACUCGACUCCAUGAAGUUGGAAUCGCUAGUAAUCCUGAAUCAGAAUGUCAGGGUGAAUACGUUCCCGGGUAUUGUACACACCGCCCGU